GCCGGUGUGGUGGAAUUGGCAGACACGCACGACUCAAAAUCGUGUUCCGUCAGGAGUGUCGGUUCGACCCCGACCACCGGUA
rnacentral:tRNA from 1 species